AAUUACGUCUGACGUAAUAAUGACGUGCUAGUUCAUUGGCUAGGUUCAUUUCAACACGGCUUGCAACCACUUGCAACUAACCUACACAAACCAACACAAACCCACAAAAACAAAUAAGCAUUUUAAAGAUUGGAAAUGAUGGAUGAACUAGUAUAUGGUUGAUUUUGGCGGAUGUAAAUUAAUACACUUUGACAUCAGACGACUAGUUUGCAAGGACUGCUGCGCACCCGGAUGUAGACAACAACAACAACAUCAAGAUCCAUCAACAGCAGCCUUCAGAGGUGCAACGGACCAGAUGGCGCUGUGACAUUCAUUUUCAGUUCUGUGCAAGGAACCACCAUCAUGCCAUGGAAGAUGCUGAUGUCAACAGCAGACGAACAAUUAUUCUGCAGGCCCUUCUAAUCUUCCUGCAGGAUGACCUGGAAUG